CCCUCACCUCCCCUCCCCUCCGUUGCCCCCGCUUCUCCAACCAGCAGAUUCCUCCCCCGCCACCCAGGCCAGCUCCCCCGCCGCCGGCGCCCCCCUCCGCCGUGGAGCUCGACAUGGACGACGCCUGCGCCGUCUGCGCGGAGCCGCUCGAAUGGGUGGCCUACGGCGCCUGCGGCCACCGCGAGGUCUGCUCCGCCUGCGUCACCCGCCUCCGCUUCGUCCUCCGCGACCAGCGCUGCUGCCUCUGCAUGACCCACUGCCCCGCCGUCUUCGCCACCAAGGAAAUGGGGGACCGCACCAAGGCGAUCGGCGAUCUCUCGGCGCUGCCGGCCGCGGCCGGCGAGGGCAAGACCGGGGAGUACUGGUACCACGAGGCCACGCAGGUGUGGUUCGACGACGCUGACCAUUACAGGAUGGUAAGGGCGAUGUGCCGGAUCUCCUGCACCGUCUGCGAAAGCAGCGGCAACAAGGGGAAGAAGGGCAGUAAGUCGUCCAAGGCGAAACACAAGAUCAAGUUCGACAGCAUUGAGCAGCUCAAAGCCCAUCUGUCCAACAAGCAUUGCUUGUACAUGUGCGACCUCUGCUUGGAUGGGAGGAAGGUAUUUAUUUGCGAGCAGAAACUUUAUACAAGGCCUCAAUUAAACCAGCACAUAAAAACCGGUGAUUCAGAGGUGGAUGGCUCGGAAGUUGAGCGCCGGGGUUUUGCAGGGCACCCGAUGUGCAAGUUUUGUAAAAGCCCAUUUUAUGGAGAGACUGAGCUAGAUACACAUAUGACAAGAGAACAUUAUUCUUGUCACAUAUGUCAGAGGCAGCACGGUGGGCAGGAUGAUUAUUUCAGGAACUAUGAUGACUUAGAGAUGCAUUUCCGAAGAGACCAUUUCUUCUGCGAGGACAGAGAGUGCUUGGAGAAGAAGUUCAUUGUCUUCCAAAGUGAAGCAGAGCUUAAGAGGCACAAUGCUGUGGAGCAUAGGAAGCGCAUGCCUCAUGCACAGAAGAAUUCUGCUCUCCAGACACCAACCAGUUCUCGAGACCGGAGUGAGCUAGAGCAGAGUAAUGGCAGAGGUAGAAGGCAUAACGCUUGCCUCUCCAAUGGUUCUGUUGACAAUACCUUGCUGUCUGUUCAGAAUAGCAUUGCAAAUAUGGGUCGUGGCUCGGGAAAUCAAGUUGCUGCAGUUGUGUCUCCCUUGCGAUCUAGUUCUGGGCACUCAUCACAAGCAGGCCAAAGCUCUGGGAUGAAUCGUGUUUGGCAGCAACCACAACCCCUCUCCCGCCAGGAGGUUCCUGAUGCAAGAAUAGGUUCCUGUUUUCAAGAAGCUUCAUCCCCUCCCAUAUCAGGGCAAUCAGGGUAUACACCAGUUGUCAGUCGGAGCUCACGGACUGCUGCACGCGCAAUGGAUUUGGAAUUCCCUCCUUUAUCAGGCAGUAAUAACAGAACUGCCGCUUCAACAGAGCAGGGGGUACGAAAGGUAGCUGAGAACACUCAUGCAUUUGGGCUCCGACAACAAAGCAAUGGAAUUGUGAAUACACACCAUUCUGCUCAGCAUUGGUCCCUUCAAAAUACUGAUUUGAUCCCUUCUGGUUCAAGUCACUCCCCAAGUUGGCCUACACCCAACACAAGUCCUCACGUUAGUGGAUCGCUGAGUCUGACUUCUGCAGGAAAUGGAAGGCAAGAAACACCUGUGAGCCGCCAGGUGUUGUGCUCUGUGGAUGAUGUUCGUGCAGCGAAUAAUUCAUUGGUUGAAAGAAUGCAGGCCGCAUUAGGAAUGGACCGGGACAGGUACUCGAUGUUCAAAGAGAUCUCCGGGGAGUAUCGUCAAGGAGUUAUCAAUGCUUCAAAGUAUCUUUCAUACGUCGAACAAUUUGGUCUGUCGCACCUCGUUCUUGAAAUGUCAAGGUUACUGCCGGAUCCUCAAAAGCAGAAGGAGCUUGCUGAUGCCUACUAUGCGAAUUUGCGCCUUACAAGCCUCCAAGGAAAUGGUGGCGGUGGAGCUGUUUGCUCGAAAGACUGCACCCGGAAAAAUAAGGGGAAGGGGAAACUUCCUGCUGCUGCACAGGAUUCGUUAGAGGGUAAGCUCCUGAGUGCUGCCAGCAAGCUUCAGUCGCAGGUGGGAGGCUCUAGAGCGCUGUUGAGAGAAGGGUGUGGAGCAGCCGAUGGACCUUUGCAGGAGCCGAGGUGGCCUGUGAAGGGUGCUUGGCAAAACCGUGGGGGGCAGAGACUCGUGAGCAAGGCGAAGAAGUAAACUGCGGUUUACAGGAUGAGUUGCCACCUGAGCUGCUGUGAAAACGUCCGUUUUCCCCUGCUUUGUGUCUGGCUUGUUGAGGCGACUGAAAAGGCCGUGGAGUGAUUAUUUGGUUCGCUUCUGUUUCUCUGUGUCUGAACUUUAUGUUGAGUUUGCGUAAUUGUGUCGUGAAUGUUGUGAAGAAGGAAUAGUUAUGAACUAUGUGGAUGGUAACUAUCAAAGCUAUUGUAUUUCGGGAUGUCUCUGUCAGGAUUAGUAUUUCGAAGUUUGUAUGGAAAUACAUAUCAAAUCCAUCUAGAACUAUACUUUUUUACAUAU
rnacentral:rRNA from 1 species